UACGAAGGGGGCUAGCGUUGCUCGGAAUUACUGGGCGUAAAGGGCGCGCAGGCGGUCGAUCAAGUCGAGUGUGAAAGCCCCCGGCUCAACUGGGGAGGGUCAUUCGAUACUGAUCGACUCGAAGGCAGGAGAGGGUAGUGGAAUUCCCGGUGUAGUGGUGAAAUGCGUAGAUAUCGGGAGGAACACCAGUGGCGAAGGCGACUACCUGGCCUGUUCUUGACGCUGAGGCGCGAAAGCUAGGGGAGCAAACGGG
rnacentral:rRNA from 1 species